rnacentral:rRNA from 1 species
GACAGAGGGUGCAAACGUUGUUCGGAAUUAUUGGGCGUAAAGGGCGCGUAGGCGGUGCCACAAGUCACUUGUGAAAUCCCCGGGCUUAACUCGGGGCCUGCAGGCGAAACUGUGGUGCUGGAGUAUGGGAGAGGUGCGUGGAAUUCCCGGUGUAGCGGGUGAAAUGCGUAGAUAUCGGGAGGAACACCUGUGGCGAAAGCGGCGCACUGGACCGAUAACUGACGCUGAGGCGCGAAAGCUAGGGGAGCAAACAGG